rnacentral:rRNA from 1 species
CACGGGUGCGUAACACGUAUGUAACCUACCUUGUUCAGGGGGAUAGCCUCUCGAAAGAGAGAUUAAGACCGCAUAAAAUCACAAUGUGGCAUCACAAAAUGAUCAAAUAUUUAUAGGAACAAGAUGGGCAUGCGGAACAUUAGCUAGUUGGUGAGGUAACGGCUCACCAAGGCGACGAUGUUUAGGGGAUCUGAGAGGAUGGCCCCCCACACUGGUACUGAGACACGGACCAGACUCCUACGGGAGGCAGCAGUAAGGAAUAUUGGUCAAUGGACGAAAGUCUGAACCAGCCAUGCCGCGUGCAGGAAGACGGCCCUAUGGGUUGUAAACUGCUUUUGCAGGGGAAUAAACCUCUCUACGUGUAGAGAGUUGAAUGUACUCUGAGAAUAAGGAUCGGCUAACUCCGUGCCAGCAGCCGCGGUAAUACGGAGGAUCCGAGCGUUAUCCGGAUUUAUUGGGUUUAAAGGGUGCGUAGGUGGCCUGUUAAGUCAGGGGUGAAAGACGGUAGCUCAACUAUCGCAGUGCCCUUGAUACUGAUGGGCUUGAAUAAACUAGAGGUAGGCGGAAUGUGACAAGUAGCGGUGAAAUGCAUAGAUAUGUCACAGAACACCAAUUGCGAAGGCAGCUUACUAUGGUUUUAUUGACACUGAGGCACGAAAGCGUGGGGAUCAAACAGGAUUAGAUACCCUGGUAGU